GACGAACCGUGCGAACGUUAUUCGGAAUCACUGGGCUUAAAGGGCGCGUAGGCGGGUCACCAAGUCCGGGGUGAAAUCCCACGGCCCAACCGUGGAAGUGCCUUGGAUACUGGAGACCUCGAGGGGGGUAGGGGCGUGCGGAACUCAGGGUGGAGCGGUGAAAUGCGUAGAUAUCCUGAGGAACACCGGUGGCGAAAGCGGCGCGCUGGACCCCUUCUGACGCUGAGGCGCGAAAGCGUGGGGAGCGAACAGG
rnacentral:rRNA from 1 species